rnacentral:rRNA from 1 species
AGUGAACGCUGGCGGUAGGCCUAACACAUGCAAGUCGAACGGCAGCACAGUAAGAGCUUGCUCUUACGGGUGGCGAGUGGCGGACGGGUGAGGAAUACAUCGGAAUCUACUUUUUCGUGGGGGAUAACGUAGGGAAACUUACGCUAAUACCGCAUACGACCUACGGGGGAAAGCAGGGGAUCUUCGGACCUUGCGCGAUUGAAUGAGCCGAUGUCGGAUUAGCUGGUUGGCGGGGUAUAGGCCCACCAAGGCGACGAUCGUUAGCUGGUCUGAGAGGAGGACCCGGCACACUGGAAGUGAGAGACGGCCCAGACACCGACGGGAGGCAGCAGUGGGGAAUAUUGGAAGCUGGGGGGAAGCCUGAUCCAGCCGUGCCGCGUGGGUGAAGAAGGCCUUCGGGUUGUAAAGCCCUUUGUUGGGAAAGAAAAGCAGUCGGUUAAUACCCCGCUGUUCUGACGGUACCCAAUGAAUAAGCACCGGCUAACUUCGUG